UUCCAGAGGCUCAUUCGAGAUCCCAUUUCUAUCGUGUGCAAGCAGUUUCCGAUCCAAGGGUGAGCGCUCCAUUUUCGGGUUGUCGUGGACCAUCAUAGUAGUCUUUGUAUCUUCCGAACAAUGAGACAAUCUGAUCUUUUAGUUAGUUUUUGGAUACUUCUGUUAGGUUUGGUUUUGUUUAGAAGUUCUUGUAUGAUGACUUUCGGGUCUUGGGAAUUUUAGUAGUUGAUUCGUUUCCGCACUUAAUUAUAAAGUAGAGUACUAUUUACUUGUGAAAAUAUGGGUAAACAUGGGUCUACAUGUAUUUUACCCAACCCAUUUUCACCCAUAUGAAUUAUGGGCGGGUUGAAUUGUUACCCAUUUUAUGUUGGCCCAUUUUCAACCCGCUCAAAUUUGACCCAUCCCGCCCAUUUGCCACCACGACCUGUAGGUCAUGGCUAGAUGGGCAUAAAUUAGACCCUUAGCAUAUGUGUACACCUUAGCAUUUGAUGUGUGAGUUUAUUUGUGUUAUGUACUUAUAAUGAGUUUAAAUGAAAUUAUUGUGGUAAGAUGGAGUGGGCAUAGACCCACGUAAAUUGAAAUCAUUGAUUCUUUAUUUCCUUGAUGAUUGAGAUUGUUUAUCUGAUACGCAUAACCUGCUGUGAUGGUACUUGUUGGGUGUUGAAAUUACUUGCUAUGUGCUGAAUGUCAGGUCUACUUGUUGUUUGACUCAUGUGUUGCAUGCUUCCUAAAUUGAGUCGGCAUAUUAUGUCCACCAGUACAUAGUGGUUUGUAUUGACUAAUACUUCCCUGUACUCUUCUUUUGUUGAGUGCAGAACGUGUUCCAGAGGCUCAUUCGAGAUCCCAUUUCUAUCGUGUGCAAGCAGUUUCCGAUCCAAGGGUGAGCGCUCCAUUUUCGGGUUGUCGUGGACCAUCAUAGUAGUCUUUGUAUCUUCCGAACAAUGAGACAAUCUGAUCUUUUAGUUAGUUUUUGGAUACUUCUGUUAGGUUUGGUUUUGUUUAGAAGUUCUUGUAUGAUGACUUUCGGGUCUUGGGAAUUUUAGUAGUUG
rnacentral:lncRNA from 1 species